AUGAGAAAACAAACAGAAACACUGAAGGUGGAUACUCCUCCCAAACAGCCCUGCUUUAAAACCUCCCUGUUAUUUGCUAACAAAACCCCUUUCUGCUGGAGAGCAUCCAGCGGCGGAAGGCACGGUAGGAGGAAGCAGCAGCUUUCAGCACUAAAUGGGUGCAUAACAGCCCUCCCCAUGUUUCUGCAGGUCACCUCCACCUCCAUGAUGGUCUGUGGGAUGCCUGGGCAAUGUAGGAUGGUACAGCUGCCCAGGGAGUGUUGGGGUCACCAUCCCUGGAGGUGUUCAAGAACUAUGGGGAUGUGGCACUUAGGGAUGAGAGGAAACAUUGCCCAGAUCAACACAUGCCCGAGGAGUGAUUUUACACGGGUAGGACAGCGCUUGCUGCCUGCUGGAAAAACUUCCAAUCAGCAGCAUUCACAAGCUGGGUUUAUUUUUCGCAGUUUUCUGAGUUGGGUUUUGUUUCGGUGCCAGAGUAAAGAGCUGGAGGUACAUAUUUCAGCCCAACCUGCAACACCCUCGUCAUGGCCGGAUUUGAGCAAGGAGAGGGAUGUGACCUACAUUUGCAGCCCAGUCUGUAUAGGGCUCCCCAAACCCCCUAGCAUUGCCCCACUUCUCUUUAUAGGGCUUAUCACAGGGUCGAUGCUCAUCUAUUGCAAACGCUCUGCCCCAAACUCCAGCCCCAAGCAUCCUCCAAAGCCUCAAAGCUGGAGCACGGGGCUGGAACAAAAUUACCCAGAGCUUUUAAAAGCUCUCCCACCUUCGUCUCCGCUCUUCCUCUGGGUAGGUGUCCCGGCGGCGGCAGAACAAGACGCCUACAGAAGGCUGCUGGAAGCUGUUGGGCCGGAAUACACUGGGAGGCCUUUUUGCCUGGAAACUAUUUCCUACCCGCAGGCUGCGGUGGCAGCAAGCAUUCCUACGCGGGUUGGCAGGCGGGCGGUGAGCCCUGGCCCGCGGCACGGCACUGAUGUCCCCACCACAAAGCCCUUUUAUGCUCGUGGGAUUGGGGUUUGUUUUCUCCGAGGGGAGACGCGCGGUGUGCCGAUGGCGAGCGGGGCGAAGCGUCGCCUCCCCUUGUUUCACAGGGCAAGCUGAGGGAAAAAAGAGAGGUUUGUUGCAAAGAGACCCAAGCCGGAGCUGCUGGGGAGCAAAAACAGCCCAUUAAAGUCAGGGCUGUGGCUGUAAAUCAAUAGAGCUGCUGCUAUUUCCAUCUGCCAGGCGAGGAGCGGGGCAGUGCCCACGUGUCCCCUGCCCACGUGUGCCACACAGAAGGAUAUGUCCCCUGCCAGGGGACGUGGCAACACGAGGUGAGACCCCCAGUGGCUGUGGGUCCUGAUGAGCAUCACCUCAAGCCAAACUGCCCUGUAGGGUCCGGAUGUUUUUCCCAAAGCCCCAAAUGAGUGAAGAUGUGUGAUUGAUGGAGGAGAUGCGAUUGAAGAGCUGUGAUUGAAAGGAUGUGAUUUUUGGUUUCCCUUUCUUGUAAACACUCAGACGAGCCCACAAGUUGGAAGGGAAGAGAUCAGGAAGAAAGUUUGGAGGCCCCUAUUGCCUCGUGAUUCAAUCUGUGUGCAGGAGACAGAGCUCCCCUCUAAUGGUGAUGGGGACAAGGGGCCGCCUGGCAGCUCAUCAGCCCUGGCUCCAUGUGCAGGCAGCGCCGGACCCUUAUCUCCCAGAUACACAUCUGCUGGGUGCACAGCCUCGUCCAUCUGUACGUGGAGCACGGCUGAUACCCUCAGCUUUAUGAUUUCUGCUUGCCCACAGGGAAGCACAUGCGUCCCGAAGGGUCACCCAAAAAUCAAGUGACAACAGAGCAGCCCACCGCUGUCCCCAUCCCUCCAGGGCAUUUCCCCUGCCUGGGGCACUUCCCGCGGCACACCACUGCCUGCUCCUCACUGAUGUCCUCUGAUUUGUGCUGUCUGCAGGCGAGCAGCGGGAUCCGGCCGCACACCGGCGAUAUGCAGGAGCCCCUCGCUGCUUGCCACCCCCCGGUUUCCAGGCCAUGCAGGUGCCGGCAACCCUCACAUUAGCACCUCAUCAGCUCCCCGGGGCCCAGAGCAAACACAGCCUGCCCGGCGAGGAAAUGCCCGCGGCCUUGAGAUGCGGGCGGCGGGAGGAUGUUUCCUGCCUCCUCGUCCUCGGGUGGGCAAACAGCACCUGGGCAGGAGGGCGGGGGGGGGCGCGGAUGUGGAUUCAGGAAGCAGCCCCCCCCCAGCCCCCCGCCAUGCACAUGUUAAUGGCACCCCGUGGCACCGGGCUAUUAAUUAUUCCCACCGGCGGUGCCCGCUGCAACGGGGGAGCUUCCCUUCUGCUUCCCACGCCGAUGGGGUUUCUGUUCCCCGGGAGGAAGCUCCCCGCUGUCGCUGCCUGGGGCCGGCAUUGAUUCGCGCUGUUGCUCGCUGUAAAGGUGAAAAGGAACACCGUAUUUAGAAAUAAAUAGGGGCCGGCUCGCCA
ensembl:lncRNA